rnacentral:misc_RNA from 1 species
GUUUCAAAAUAGCUAGCACAUGGUGGGUUUGAGAGCAUGUUAUUUCCAUUGUAGCAUGUUAAUUCAACACUACAGUAACGUAAAUCCAUGCCUUAGCACGAUUCUUGUACUGUUAGAUGCAAUGUUACUAAUUCUGAAGUGUAUAGCAUACAUUGGUAAAAUUAAAACAAUUGGAUAAAAUUGAAAAUUAUUUCAAAGUUUAGGACUUAUGGGAUAAUUAGCGCUUAAAAAAAUUAGUACUGUUUACUGUAAUGACAUACACUGCUAGAAUCAGUUAAUGCUUAAAUUUCAUUGACAAACUUCUUAUAUA